rnacentral:lncRNA from 1 species
GCUUAGUGUUUUUUGUAAGCAUGCUCACCCCAGUUCUCCAUCAUCAGGGCCACCCGGGAAUGCUCUUUUAAAUAACAGAUUCUUCUUUUUUUUUUUUUUUUUUUUUUGCCAAUUCUUGGGCUCUAAUUUUAAAGAGCAGAUUCUUCUUCUUUUUUCUUCUUCUUCUUCUUCUUUUUUUUUUUUGCCAAUUAAUUCUUGGGCUCUAAUUUUAAAUAGCAGAUUAUUCUUCUUCUUUUUUUUUUUUUUUUUUUUUUUUUUUUUUUUUUUUUGCCAGUUCUUGGGCUCUAACUCAGAUUAUCUGCAUCAGGUUCUUUGAAGAUGAGGCCACUUCCGCAUUGUUAAGAAGUUCCAUGGAUUCUCAUGCACGGAAGAAGUAACUGGAACACAAUCAUCUGGCAAAAUCAACUGAGAAAAAUGGAAAAAAAGUACCACCUGGCUUCCUUGCUAGUAAUAUUUUUAGUGGCAAUAAUACCCAAAUAAUGUGGAUCCCAAUCAAGGGUUGAAGAGAGACCUUUUGGGAGGAGUUUAAAGGGGGAAUGUCCUUGAGUAUGUGGAAGAAAAUUGAGGAAGCUUCCUUCCAAUCCGGAGCAAUUCCUCAGUCUUUCCUUGACUUUCCUGUGUGGCCAGUGUGUUUCAGCAGAAUGAGACAUUUCCAAAGGCCAUGUUCAAAAAGGAAUUCCAAGAACAUGUGGUGGGAAGGGAAUGGCAUCGUAUUUGUUCUGAAGGAAUACUUGUGAAAAGUGGUCAUGUGACAAACUCAUUCAGGUAAGGUGACUAAAAACCUACGUUGUCGCUUUAUCAUUGCCUCCUACUUCUCUUUUGACUGGUGCCUAGAAAAGAGAGAUCCAAAAGAGGGAGAGAAUAAUCCACAAUUAAGAUAAAGAUUAUUUUAGGGGAAAGGGAAAGGAAGGAAUGAGAGCAAAAAGUGGGCCCUGGGGGUAUUUCGAGACUCUGCUUUUGGCCAUGCUUUGCUGCCAUUUGGCAAGGCGACCCUGGCCUUGUGUGCUUAGAGUCAUCUGACCGACGGUGGCCGGAAGCCGACUAUGACAGAGACUUGAGAUAUUGCAGAUCGGGUUGAGGAAGGUCAAAAUAAUUAGUCAUUGGAGAUGAUAUGAGGAAAGGAAGGAGGGGGAGGUUGGGGGAGUGGGUGCAACAGAAACAGUUCUAGUGUUGGAGCCGAGGAAGCCAACUCUGAAACAUUUGGACCUUUGUUGUCUGACAUUGCUUUUGCCACUCCUUCUUCCUUCCUCCCACCUUUGCCUUCCCCACCACCUCCUCCAAACUCCCCUGCCUUCUAUCUCUGGCCCCACUGAUGACCCCUCCAUGUGAGUCGUAGGCUUUUACUACCCAUGAUUUCUUUUCUCCAAGCAAAAGAGAGAAGAGUUUAUUUCAUUCUCAGCAGCAUCCCUGGCCAGCCUCGUCAAAGGCUGUCAAAUAAACACAUUGCUAGGAGGAUCACCUCAACCUGUAGGAACUUCCUUCCUGCCAAGAAGCUGGUUCAUUCAUCACCAAGCAUCAUCAUCAUGGAAUUCUCACCCUGCUGGAGGUUCGAGCCAAGACAUAGAAAGAGGACAUUACCUGGGGCAGGAAUCAAUUGCCUAUCACUGGGGAUGCCUGCAGAUCAUUGUCCAGAGUGGCUGCUGUUCACUGAGUGUUUCCUCUGUGCCGGGCACCUUGCACACCUUAUUUUCAGUCUCCGCAGCUGCCUUGUUGAGGUUGGCUCUCUAUGCUUCUGUUUCACAGUUGGGGAAACUGAGGUUCAGAGAUGUGAAUGAAUUUUCUCAAAGUAACGUUAAGUAUUGGUAAGAUUUCAUUUAUCCAUUCACUAUUAAAUAUUAUUAAGUAAUUACAGUGCUUUAAGAACUCCAUGUAAAUGGUGGAUUUGAGGCAAAACUUAGAAGCUGAAUUACAUAAGGAGUUAACAUUGCAAAAAGCUUAGAAAUUUAUGUUCCAGGUGGAGCGAACAGAGGUUGUGUCUUUUCGGUUACAAGUAAUAAAAUCCAGAGGCUAUCUCAAGGGAAAAAUAAAGCACUAGAUGGUCUACCAAAGAUAGAGGGGCAGGUGGAUUUUGGGAAGGGGCAAGAAUGAACAGCUAGAAAAAUGUGGCUUACGUUUACUGUCUUAUCUGCCCCUUAGCUUCAUAGCUUUCUUUUUCUCAUGUGUAGAGUGAUCAAAGAUGACCACCACCAAACUUUCAUAUUAAAGAUUAAAACACAAAAAUAGGCCAGACACAGUGGCUCAUGCCUGUAAUCCCAGCAUCUUGAGAGGGUGAGGCAGAAGGAUCGCUUGAGCCCAGGAGUUUAGGUUCAGCCUGGGCAACAUAGCAAGAUCCUGUCACUAUAAAUAGUAACAAGAUUAGGUGGACAUUAUGGUUCAUACCUGUGGUCCCAGCUCUUCAGGGGGCUGAGGCAGGAAGAUCCCUUGAGCUCAGAAGUUUGAGGCUGCUAUGAGCUAUGAUUACGUCGCUGCACUCCAGCUUGUGUGACAGAGCAAGACCCUGUCUCAAAAAAAAAAAAAAAAAAGACAUCUAAAUAGAUAAAUAGAGCAACUCUCCCUCUCAGAAUCCUGGGCACAAAAUUUCUAUUGGCUUAGCUUCUGUCAAGUGUUUAAUCCUAGUCACAUAUCAGAGGCUGCAGGUGGAUGGGGUCAUAUGAUAUAAUACGGCCUCGUGGGGAUUGAUCACUGUGGGUGAAGAACUCAGUUAAGGUGGCAUUAGAAGGUGGACAGAUAGCUUGAAAGAUGCUGCCUCACCCAGUUACAGAGCUAAAAACCAGACCUAAGUGUGUGUAAGUCAAAACACUACAGUUGACAACCAACUUCAUAUCUUCUAUCAUUUCAGAGUAGCACGACACUGGUCAAGAAAGGCCCACAUGUUGGUAAUUUGUGCCUCCCAUAUGGUCAAUGCUACAUUGCGAGGAAGCAUGCUGAGCAUGACAGUAUGCUCUACACCUGUGUGGCUACCAUGUUUUGGUUGCCUCCAUAUAAUGGAGUGGUUAAGAGUCCGGGUUCUGGGGCUGAAACACUGGAAUUUGAGCCCCAGCUCUGCCAGUGUGUGCCCUUGAGAAAGCUAACUGCCCUCAUUACAUGUGUUGGUCUUCUCAUCCAUAACAGGCAGAUAAUAUUAGUUUCUAGCUCAAGGGGUUAUUGCCAAGAUCAAAUGAAUGAGUACAGAUUAACUUAUUGAACAACAGCCAAUAAAGGCAAGUUAUUUUGAGAUACUCAGACUGGACACCAUGGGAAACAAUGAUGAAAGACUCUCCCACAGAAAGACAUGGUGUGGUAAGGCAGGGGUUGCAAUAUUCCGGAAGCUCAGUCACCAUAAUGAAAUAAUAGGUCCAGGCAUGAUGGACACAGUUCCUUUGGAGUCAUGUUCCAAUUACCACAUGGAACCAUGGUCCCAGAUGCUGACCAAAUCUGCUGGCCCAGCUUGGCUUCAUUAGUCCCCAGAGAUCACCCAGACAGAUCAAAGAAAACCCAUCCUCAACCAGCCAGAGAUUGCUCAAAAAACCAAUGACUGUCCCACCAGGGACUGGAAUUCCAACUUGCUGGCUAGGUCUGGAGAAGGAGGUGGAGGUGGAACUGCAUCCUUUUUUCCAGUAUGGACUGAGAGCCAACCAUGUGCCAAGGCUGGGAGGAGGUACCGAGGUUGCAGAAAGAAAGGCCCAGUCACGGAAUUCAGAGAACUCAGAGUUCAGUGGGGAAGACAUGGGCAUCCACAAUGAUAUGGGACAAUUCAUGUUUUUCAUUGUUCUGGUAAGAAUUUAGUGGGAUUAUAAAAAUAACAAUAAAAACAAGAACAAUAAAGUGAGAUUAAACGAAAUGCAAAAAUAAAAUAUGUAAUUUCAUGAAGAAGUUAAAACAAGGGAAAAAUGAGAGAAGAGGGGAUAAAAUGUAGCUGGAGUUAAAUUAGUGGCUGAAGUCAAGAGACUGGCUUUGGAGCCUGUGUUCUGCCUCUUCUGAGAGAGCACAGUGAGCUUGAGAAAGAUAGUCUACCUUCAGCAUCUCUGCUUCCUCUUCUGUAAUGUGGGGAUAACAAAAAUCACAUGUGGAUUUUGUGAUGAAUGAAUGACAGCAGCUCUACAUAGCGCAUUACACAAUGUAGGGCCUAUUAGAGGUGGGGAUGAGGUUUCAAUUAUGGGCUAAUGGUGCAAAGCUUGAGAUCACAGUGCUUUGCCAUUCACCUCUUCUCCCUAAAAGGGUCCUAACAGAGGGAGAUUUUCACAUAAGGAAUACCCGCCAAGCAGGAAGCAGGCCACUGCUUUAUUAAUAACGGAUAUGAAUGAAUAACCUAGCCAACAUUCAAUGGCACCAAAUGCUGAGCUUUCUAGCAGGGCUAGGUUUGGGAUAUAAAUGAGGGCUUGGUUUGGGAUAUAAAUGAGGGUUCCUGCUGCUAUACCCUCAUGGCAAGUUCCUAGCCAGACUAGCUUCCUCAUUUCGGAGAAGGAAGAAUUAGAAUAGCAACCAAAAAAAGCACAUAUACAUCAUUUGAGUUGGACAUACAGUCCCUGAGAAUAAAGACUACAGCCUCCCUUGUCACUAGAUUUGGCCAUAUAUCUAAGCUUUGGCCAGUACAUUAUAAUAUCUUUCCUAAAAAGACAGCUAGCUCAGACCCUUGUUUAUUUAUUUGUUUGUUUUCAUUUGUUGUUCCUUUCUCCUUCCUGCUGGUUGGAAGGUGAAUAGCAUGAUGACAGUCCUGGCAGUCGACUUGGAUUACAUGAACCUGGGCCACAUCCUAAGGAAGGCAGGGCCAAAAUCUGGAAGGAGCCUUGGCCUCUGGGGACUUGACCUGCAAAAGCCUCCCAUUAGCUCUAGACUUCUUCCCUUCAGAUUUAUAUAUGAGAGAGCAGGACACUUCUACUGGGGGGAACACCACAUCACAAGGUCUGUGGGAGUUGGAGAAAACUCUCGCUGACUCCCUGAAUAUAGUCCCAGUGGGAACCACCUUGGGGAGAGGCUCUGUCCAGCUGAACCCUCCAGUGCACAGUAUGCUUGGCUGCAGAGGCUUGGAGUGAGAGAGGAGACCAGGGUCCAGCUUCUCGGACAGCACUCACUGGGUUCUAGAGGCAAGAAGUCUGGAAUAAGUAUCACUGGGCCAAAAUCAAGGUGUCAGAAGAACUUCACAUCCCCCAAAACCUCCAGGAGAGAAGCCAUUCCUUGCCACUUCCAACUUCUGAGCCUCCAGAUAUUCUUUGACUUGUAUCUGUGUCACGCCAAUCUCUGCCACUGUCUUCACAUGGCCUUCUCUUCUGUGUCUCUCCAAUUUGCCUUUGUAUUUCUCCUAUAAAGACACUAUCAUUGGAUGUAGGGCCUACCUGGAUGAUUGAGAAUGAUCUCCUGUCGAGAUCUGUAAUUAUAUCUAAAAAGGGCCUUUUUCCAAAUGUUACAUGGUGAACAUGUUUCGGGGGAACUAGCAUUCAACCUGCUACAGCGUCCUCUAGCUAGGAAGUGGUAGAAGCAGGACCUAAUGUAGAUCUAGCCACAAUCCCACAUGGAUUGCUUAGACUGCAUCAAUUGUGAAUGACAGACACCCAGUGCAACUUAAGCUUUCUGCAUUGCUGUUGAAUAGGGGGAGGAGGAAAUGGUGGAUACAGAGUCACUGUAGCUGAAGAUGCCAAAGGUAGACAUUUCUAGUUGCAGACAUCAUCUACAUUUUGUGGUCAGGGCUCAAGCCAUCUCUUGGGCAGGCUUUCUUCACCCAGUAGGUGAAAUGUCUUCUGUUAGCUCAACACCCACAGUCCUCUAGUGUGGCCAGUGGAAAGUGACUUCUCUUUCCAUUAACUCAAGAGAAAAAGCCCGAAAAGCUUUGGCCCUGCCAAAAUCACAUCACCCUGGUGAAAUCACAUGAUCAGCCCUAAACCAAUCACUCUAGCCAGGGAGAUCAUUUAUUCAAUAGCAAUAAUAAAUAUAUAUUGAGUACAUUCUAUGUGUCAGGAAUUCUUCAAGAUGUAUAAAAAUACCCCAGCAAACAGAAGACAAAUUCCUACCCUCAUGGAGCUUAUAUUCUAGAGGAAAAUACAGACAAUUAACAUAUAAACAAAUUUUAAAAACUGUCAUUCAAAUUCAGACAGAGAGUAGAGCUAUGUAAUAAAUUAAUUAGGGCAAUGUGCUUAAAAAUGGCCAGAGGUGGUGUGGACUCCUUUAGCCGGUAUGAUCAGUUAAGACCUCUCUGUAGAGGUGGUAGAUGAGGUGCAACUCAAGUCACGGGAGGCAACCGUUUAAAGAUUUGUGGAAGAUCAUUCUAAAUGGAAGGAAUAGCAGGUGCAAAGACAGUGGGGUGGGAACAACCUUAGAGGAACAGAAACAUGGACAGUACAGCUUGACUAUAGUCCAUGAGCAGGAGAGAGUAUGAGAUGGAGUACUUCAGUGGUGAAACUGGGAUCUCAAAACCAAAAUGUGAUUUCCAACCCAUCUGCUCUUUAACUCUUUUCUACACAACCUUGCUCAGGAGAGGUAUGUCUGUCCACCAAGCAUAGGUCUCCUGUGCAUUGUGUCACCCCUCUCACUGCAUGGCUAGAAGAUGUUCUUUGAGCAGCUGGAAGAUUGUAAAUAUGACACCAUCUAUUUGGUGGGUGAUUUUUGCUCCUUCUGGUAUAAGAGGAUAUAAGUGGGGAAAUAGAACAAGAGUUAACAAACUCUGUAAGGUCUCAUUGGAUCUUCACCCUAACUCAAACUUGGUCCAAACAAAACUCUUUGACAAUAUUUAGGUGUGAGUAGGGGAGUUGAUAAAUGAUGUUUUCUCUCUUCUCUUCUUUUUCACUUUUAUACGCCUCUGGGUUGAUGGUUUCUGGCCAAGGCCAGAGGUACUAAAAUACCACAAGAAAGGAGAACUUUGAAGUGAUCAUCUGUUCAGCCAAGAAGGAGGUGGUGCUGCCUGAAGGUUCACCAGGAAUGCGGUCUUCUGGAGCUUUAGACAGAGUUCCUAGGAGGCCCCCAGAGACAGACAGAUGCCUUGGAGUUGAUUUGGAGAAACAUCUGAACUUCUGGAUGGAGUUCUGAGCCGAGCCUGAAACCCUCUGGGAGCCUUCAUUUGCUCCCAGACAAUCCAUGGAAACACCUGUUCCAAGUCUGAGCUGACUGGACCACCGCCUUUGAUUUUGGAAAACUCAGAGACCAGAUCUUGAAUCGUCCUUUCAGAAUGUACUCUGGAAUUCCUUGUUCUUCAGUGCAAAGAUUUAGAUAAAGUUAUCUGACCAUGUGAAUGACAGAUCUGAGAAUGUGAUGACUUUAUUGAUAGGUCCUACUGGACAGUUCCUUGGCCCAGCAGCAUCAGCACCUCCUGGGAUCUUGCUAGAAAUACUAAAUCUCAGGCCCUACCCCAGACCUGCUAUUUUAGAAUCUGUAAUUUAACAAGAUCCCAGUUAAUUAGCAUGCACAUUCCAGUUUGAGAAAAGCGGCACUAAAAAGCUUUGUCAAAUAGGCAGUGUGCUCCCAUUUCUCGGUAUUGUGCCUGUGACAGGCAUCAAUAAUCAACCAGAGAAUCACUUCCUUCUGAGAGCAGAAUAUUCUCAAGUCAUGGUUUCAGGUCGCAGUGACCAAUCAAUGGGAGUUGGAUCAAAAUUAAACCUAUCUUCCAUACUGGUGUCAACACUUGAAGAAAGCUCUUUUAUUUCCACCCAUAUACACAUCAUACAUGCCUGAUAAAUGUUUGUGGAAUGAAUGUGUUUUCCCCUAGCCUUGUUUCCUGUGAUAUUCACACUAUUCCAGUCCAUACCCACAGAAAAUCAGAACUUCACUGGGCAUCUGGGAAGUUCAGCAGCUGUUCUAGGUGUUGGAUUUUGCUAUUGGCCAUGACCCAUUAGAAGGUUGAGGUGAGGUUGGAAAGAUGUUAGGGAUGGAAUGAAGACACUUGGGAACCCAUCUCGCUGUGGCACAUGGACCUCAAACCAUGCAAGUUUUCUUUUUUCUUUCUUUCUUUUUUUCUUUUUCUUGAGAUGGAGUCUUGCUCUGUCUCCCAGGCUGGAGUGCAAGGGCGCGAUCUCGGCUUACUGCACCCUCUGCCUCCCAGGUUCAAGCUACUCUCCUGCCUCAGCCUCCUGAGUAGCUGGGAUUACAGGGGCAUGCCACCAUGCCCAGCUAACUUUUGUAUUUUUAGUAGAGACGGGGUCUCACCAUGUCAGCCAGGCUUGUCUCAAACUCCUGACCUCAGGUGAUCCGCCCACCUCUGCCUCCCAAAGUACUGGGAUUACAGGCGUGAGUCACCAUGCUUGGCCGCAAGUUUUCUUCAGGACAUGGCCCCAUGUAGUCCAGCUCUACAAGGUGGCUGCUGUGUGAACUAGGCUACAUGCCGAAACGGGACUGUCGGGGGAAUCAGCAGGGGGGGCAGACCAACAGCCCUGUAAGACAUAGCAAUAAUGAUUAUAAAUAGCAUCCUUCUGACCGCCUUUUGAUGUACUGUCCAAGGCCAGGUGGAAAAUCUUUCCUCCCCUGCCUUUCCCCACUAAUCACCUUCCCCUCAUUUUUCAAUAAAGAUUCUGAGCCCAGUC